UCAGAAACAGCACUAUAAUAAGAAACAUAUUAAAUGCUUCACAAAUUAAAUGCCUCAAAGUCCAUGUCACAUUGUCUAUAUAGUGCUUUCCUUUAUAACUUCAUAUUUUCUUGAGUCAUUUCAAACUGUUAUAUAGUGAUAUAAUAUGAAGUUUGUAGAGUGAUGUGGAUGAGGAGGAAGGUAGGGCCAAUAGGGAGCAUCUGUCUGGGACUGGCAGGCUGCAGCUAAGCCCGCCCAGCAAAACUUGUACGCAUAUCGCUUUCCGGGGACCUGGUAAUAAUGUUCUGAAUUAGCCAAGCGGAGGUCGAGGCCUGGUGUUCUGGCAACGGCUCUGGUGGUGGCCGGCCCUUUGCCUCCGCAUGCACGUGCUGCACAUAAGUGUGGAAGAUGCGCGCCGCUUCCGUCUUGCCCUCGCACACCUGAA